rnacentral:piRNA from 1 species
UCAGAGCCCAAGAGCUGUGUUCAAUCC